UUGGGGCCAAAGCAUAGGGGUCUCUCCACUUACGAGAAAGAGUGUCUGGCUAUACUGAUGACCGUAGAGCAAUGGCGCCCCUAUCUCCAUCAUGACGAGUUCCUGAUUCUCACGGAUCAACGCAGUCUCAUCCAUCUCGAUGAUUAACGGCUGUCCACAGUGUGGCAACAGAAAGCUUUCACUAAGUUGAUGGGUCUGCGAUACAAAAUCAGUUAUCGCCAAGACACUGCCAACAGCACCGCUGACGCGCUCUUCGGCCGCUUACACACUUCAAACCAAGCCAUGGCCAUGUCAGUGUGCCAACCUACUUGGGUGGAGGACAUCCGUGCCAGCUAUGCAGAGAAUGACCAAGCUAAGAAACAACUCACCGAAUUUCCCAAGCGACCCGAUGCAAAAUAG
rnacentral:rRNA from 1 species